CUCUCCACCAACAAUGGCCUCCAGGUCCUCCAUCCUUCUCGCCGCCGCGGUGCUGGCCGUGCUGCUGGCCGUGGGCUCAUGCGGCUCCGCACUCACCUUCAAGACCGGGCCGGGCUGCAGCGCCACCCGCCUGGUCCUCAUCCCUAGCACCGCCAUCUCCGAGGUGGAGGUCAAGGAGAAGGGCGCAAGCGACUUCUCGGAGCUCAAGGAAGGCCCGACUGGCACCUGGACGCUCGACAGCAAGGCGCCGCUCAAGGGCCCCUUCUCCAUCCGCUUCGCUGCCAAGUCCGGUGGCUACCGCGUCGUCGAUGACGCCAUUCCCGCUAGCUUCAAGGUCGGAUCCGUCUACAAGACCAGCCUCCAGGUCUGAGCGACACAUCGGACGCGCGCGUAUGGCAUCGGAUGGAAAUUUAUAUUGACCUCUAAAUAAAAUUUCAAAAGAGAUCGGGCUCACAUGCCAGCGAGACAUUUUUUUCUAAGGUUUGCUGAUUGGCCGCUCUUAGGCUACAGUGUAAGGCAACUAUGGAACUGUUAGUGUCCGUUCGUGCAUGGUGUAAGUAUGAUGUAUGCAUGCAUGGCGCAUGUGUCUAUAUCGAUCGGUGCUUGAGCAAAUUGCCUAAAUGUUUUCUUUCAAAUCCUAUGAUUUGAUUAAUCAAAGUGACAAAUAAAAAGGAUUGCCUGUAUUUGAUCGAAUGACUGCAUAAUUGAGGAUUUGCAAAAUCUUGUCUCAUUGAAAUUGAUUUUGACUAAUUUUCCACAUGGCACCGUUUCAAGCUUUAUAUGACCAAAGGUGCAGAACACCUUUGAAUUGUUUAGAAGCAAGAGAAAGAGCAAACCUUGGACCUGAUUUGGUUAUUGAAGAAGAAGAAAAAAUUCAAAAGGUCCGUAAGCAUUUGGAGAUAGCACCAUCAAGACAGAAAAGUUAUGCCGAUAAGAGAAGACGACCUUGGGUCUUUAAAGUUGGAGAUUUUGUAUAUCUCCAAGUAUCACCUAUGAAAGGAGUGCAAUAUUUAUGAGUCAAAGGAAAGCUAGCUCCGAGGUAUAUUGGUCCAUAUGAAAUUUUAGAGCAAAAAGAUCCUGUUGCUUACAGACUCUUACUGCCAGACCAACUCUAUACACUUGGUGUGGUUCUUACUUCCUGAAGAACUUCUAGAAGAUCCAGAACUUGACUUGGAACCGUAAUUGACCUAUGAAGAAGGACCUAAUAAGAUUUUGGAUCAUAAAAUACGAGAUACUCACACCAAAAGUAUCAAGUUUUACAAGGUACAGUGGAAGAACCACACCAAGGAUGAGGCCACUUGGGAACAGGCAGAGAACUUGGAAUCCAAGUAUUCUGACUUGAAGAGGUUUGAAAUUAGAUGGAUACAAAAGCAGUCCCCCAAUUUCUUUUAUGGGGUUGUAAAGAGAAAACUAUGACACAUUUUCCUUGAGAAGAAGUCGAGCAUUUGGAAUCUCGGGAUGAGAUUUUUUUAAUGGGGAGAGGCUGUAACACCAAGUGUGUUUCAAACCUAAAGAAGACCAUCAUUAGGUCAAUGAUGAAAUUUGGCUUACAAGGAGAUAUUAUGAGUUAAGUCAAAUUUGGGUCAAAUGUGGUAAAAAAUUCAAAUUAAAGAUUCAAAUUUCGAAAAAUUUGACCAAAUGAGGAAUCAAGAGUUGAAAGUGCUUAGAAUCCAAUGGAAUCAAGUUUGAGAGGAAAUUCAAGUCAUAAGGACCUCAAUGGCGUAGUUAAAGUUGUUGACUAGCGUCAACUUGAAAAAAAUCAGGAAAAAAUCGUAAGUCUUAAAAUAUGAUCAAGUGACCAUUUUUGGAUUUGAUUUAUGAAGAAAAUCAUCGUAGAGACCCCGGAGGAUUUUGGACUACAAAUGAUCUUGGGUAUCCGGUGAGCAUUUUGGACAUGUUGUUGAUAAGGAAAAGAGAGAUUUAAAUUUUAAACUGAGGCUCGUAGUUUGAAAGUUGUGCAGUUUUCAACUUAGCUGAUAAACUGAAUGAAGUCUAAAAAUGGUGCUAAGUGGGCAAAUUUGGGUCAAGAUUUUGAGAAAGUUUACAUUAUCACAUUGGACAAGAUCAUGCAAAAUGGAAUCUCCAGUCUAUGGUUAACCAAUGUCAGUAGCUCUUGUACAAGGAAAAGGAGGUUUAAGUAUUUAAAUGUGAGCUCAAAAUUUGAAUCUUGCACUGUUUUGGUGUGGACUGUUUAACCGAAGAACGUGUUCAAAGGGUUCAGUUUAAGCUCGAGUUUUGUUCAUGUUCAGAAGCUUCGAUCUCCAAAUCCGUUGAGCUAGGGAACAAAAGUCCUAUCUAUGACUUGUAGUUGAGUGAACCAUCUCCAACUUUGGUUAAAGGAUUAUGACAGAUUGGUGAUCGGUUUGUACAGAUUUCAUUGAUAAGCAGCUAGGUUUUCCAGUGAAGGUUUGCUCUGCCACCGCCUCUUGGCCACCUACUCGCCUGCUUGCUUGCUAGCGCCGCCGCUUUACUUCGCGUUGUCGGGCAUGCAUCCCAGGCCCACGAGUAGGUCCUGUGCGGCUCACUAAGGGGAAUGGCAAUGAAAAAUCAAUCAAGUUGACAAUAUAUAAGGACAAAAUAAAAGUCUUUUCUCUAUAUAUCUCUCGCUGAAGAAAAAAUUACAAACUCCAUAUUCUAUGUUAGCCAUGAAGAUCACGAAAUAUCUCCAUUUCUAAGAUCCCAUGGUAUAUGGUGUGCUAACCGUUGUGUGGGCUUGGAGAAGUAAGGGUUGAAGGAGGUCAUUGCACUGGACUGUUACCUAGGUGGCUAGGCCAGCUUUUUGUGCUUUUCCCAUUAAAUUAAUAUUUCCUUUUAUGUUCUACAAAUAUAAACAUAUUUUUCUUCAAAUACUGAAAUGUCACAUUUCAGAUAUUCCUAGGAAUCCAAAAAGGGAGGGGGUGUUAGUAUAAGGUACAUGGCCAUGCACUACGGGAAACAGGAAAGAUGCCGAGUGCCAGGGGCACUCGGCGAAGCCCCAAAAAACACUCGGCAAAGCGUUUGCCGAGUGUAACACUCGGCAAACGACACACGGCAAAAAUCUUGACGGCAAACACUGGUUCGCCGAGUGUUUUGUGUCGGGCACUCGGCAAAGACUUUGUCGAGUGCCCAGAAAACACUCGGCGAACAAUUAUUGAAAAAAAUAAAAAAAAUCAUGUUCCAAACCAGCACAUCCUGCUCCGCCGCCGCCGCCGCCGCCACCUGCUCCGCCGCCGCCACCAUCCACACCGCUGCCAGCCACCGCCACUGCUUCCCGCCGCCACGCCAUGAAGCAGAUCCGGUGGAGGGGCCGGGCGGGCGGCGGAUCCGGGGCCGGGGGCGCCGGGCGGCGGCGGAUCCGGGGCCGGGGGCGUCGGGCGGCGGCGGAUCCGGGGCCGGGGGCGCCGGGCGGCGGUGGGGGGCGCUGGGCGGCGGGUGGCGGCGGGAAGGAGAGAGGAAGAGGUGGGAGUAGAGUGACGAGUGGGAGUGACGGGGGAAAGAGGUGCGGUGCGGCCGGGACUUAAGGUGCGGCCGGGACUUAGUCCUUGGGGCCGGGGAAUUAAGUCGCCGAGUGUCCUAGGGUGACACUCGGUGAAGGGUUCUUUGCCGAGUGUCUACCCUAGGACACUCGGCAAAGCUAUUUUAAAAAAAAAUUUAAAAAUAUCUAACAGUUUCAAAAAAUUAUCAAAAAUUUACAUGAAAUAAUAUAUAUUCUCUAUUGACUGUACAAAAAGUUUUGUAGUCAAAUCAAAACUGGACCGUCAUUUUGACUCCAAAUCUUAUGCAAUCCUUCUCAACGUUACUAUUUUUCUUCUGAAAUACUUCGGUUUGUAAAUAUGGUACGUGAUGAAAUGGGCAAAACAUUCUCAAUUUUUUUCCACAGCCUCCACCUAUGAUAUCAUCACAUCAUGACAAAUCUCAUGAUUUUCAGACUUUGCUUGUUUUUUUAUAAUUUAAAAAUACCACUGCCACACGUUCAUAGUCGUGUUUCCUGAACAAGAUGUUCGAAAUUUCUUGUCAUUUCAUGGGUCAGGUCUCAAAUUGGGCCAAAAAACAUGAAUAUCAUUUUUCUACUCAUUUUGUUCCAUAAUUUGAAUCACUUGCAGUUCAAAUUUGACUUAUACCAAAAAUUCCCUUGAAAUGCAAUUAAUUAAAUAAAUAUAGCAAAUAAAUCUAAAAAUAUACCAAAUUUUAACAUGGAGUACCACAUGUUGUAUGUGGGAAGUAGGAAAAAUUUCAUGGUGAAAAGAGGAAAAAAAUUAUUUUUUUGCCGAGUGUCAAAAAAAACACUCGGCGAACCCCCUCUUUGCCGAGUGUUUUUUUUGACACUCGGCAAACCCCCCUCUUUGUCGAGUGUUUUUUUUGACACUCGACAAAGAGGGGGGUUCGCCGAGUGUUUUUUAUUUGACACUCGGCAAAGCCCCGAUUUGCCGAGUGUUUUUUAUUUGCCGAGUGUUUUUGGCUUGGCACUCGGCGAAAAGCUUGUUAGCCGAGUGCUCGAAAAAAACACUCGGCAAAAAAAAUACACUCGGCAAUUUUGAACUUUCCCGUAGUGAUGUGCGGACAUGGGAAGAAUGAUCGAAAAGAUUUGUAUUAAGACCCGAUGUUUUUUCUUGUCCUUUUCUAAUUAAAGUAAUAUUUCAUUUUAUAUUCUACAAAUAUGAUACGUACAUCUUUAUUUUUAAAUGCCGUGAUGUCACCCUUCAUACUCGCAAAAUCUAAGAGUUCCUAAAAAUUCAACAACAACGGAAGAGUGUGGUACUAGAUACCUGGCAAAGACGUUGUCAUACCACAAUACUGCAAUGAAGCUCCAAAAUAAGCUGGUCCGACGAACAUAUGAUUGAGCUACACCCGUUUAUCGUACCUCUACUGUAAAGUUGAGAGGUUGUUGGCUAUCGCUUGGUUAUCCAAGACAUAUAAGACUGUCCCUAAGGAACAUCAAAAUGUUUUUUGGAAGUCAUAUAUUCCUGUUUCGUAAACAAGAGCGACAAGAUGCCGCGUCCAUGAGCCCCCGAGCGCCGUCGCGCCGCCAGCGCGACACUCAGCUCGCCCCGUCCGCUGCAGCAUCGCUGCUCCAGCGGAAUGACGGCGAGAGCGCCAUAGCUGGCGGGGCGCUGUCAGAGGCCGUGAUGGGGGAUGCUUCGCCUACCCCAUCAACACCGUCGGAGUGGCCGGAGUUCUACGGCGGACGGAAAUGCUCUGCGCCACCGAGAGUACAAUCGGCAGACCCUUUGGUUGGGCAGCGGUGCCUUCCGUCCGGCUCCAAGUUCUAGCCUCUUGCAGAUGAGCUAAGCUCUGUCGAAGAGCAAAACCAGAGCUCAUGGCCCGAGGAACGAAUGCCGGCCGACGGUUUCUUCAGGGAUGCACUGGCGGACGACUACUCCGUUGAGGACAUUCUCACGGUGGAGGAUCAUCUCGAGGAGGCGGUGGAACCGACCCCUAAGGUACGUUCAGUGUCUUGUGGCGCAGAUAUGAGGAGCAGUUUGCGAGCAAGCCGGAGGGUCGAUGCGGUGGCUCGUCGGAGAUUUUCAACAAAGCCAUGGCGCGGCCCUUUGCCGAACCGAGGUUGUGCCGGAAUAUAAUUCGGGGAUGCCUUCGCCAGGGCCCGGGUCGCGACAUCGAGGAAGCAUCUCGCUGGAUCCGGCGGCGGUGAACUAACACUUCAAAGAAUGGCGGCGGUGCCCCUGUCGUCUCAACCUCCGGCGACCGUCGGCGUCAAGGAGAGGCGGGAGCUUUUGAAUUUCAAAUCGGGAAGACAGGAGCCGCGAGAUCCCGGAGCAUGCUGUCGACCGACUGGGAAAACUGUCCCUGGGCUGGGCCGUACCAUUCUAAUAAGCAAUAAUAGAGGAAAAACGGGCCGGUUUAACUUUUCCACAGGAUUGUGCCGUUCUUUUUCUAACGCAGGACGGCCGCGAGCUAGGGUUCUGGAAAUCGAAGCGUCUUCCUCGAGUGCGCCAUCGCUGAGCGACGCUUCGUGUGCACCGCCCAAUCAUCCCUCACUAGCGCCGAUGCAAGGAGUUGGGGCCGGAACGGGAGCUGGAGGCCGGAGCUCUGAACCUGGUGCCGCCAUGGAGCGCGCUGGAGCUGGUGGCCGCCAUGGCCGCGGCUCCGACGGCCCCAGACUUGGCCGCGGCCGUGGCUCUGGCCACAGCGGCGGCGAAGAUUACUACGAGGAAGAAGAUGGCUACUACGGCGGGGGAGACUUCCAUGGAACCGAGCAUGGCUUCGCCCCUGGCUACGGCGACUACUACGACAGUGGCCGUGGGCGGGGCUGGCCCAGGCGGGGGUUUCGGCCCCGCGGCACUCGGGGCUUCGCCGCCCGUCGUGGUGGUCGCACGGGCCGCCCCGGUCGUGGAGCAGCUCCUGGACGCGCGGCUGCUGGCAGGCAUGGUCCUGCACUGGAGGGUAGGAGCGCCCCAGCCGGCAGGGAAGCGCCAAAGGCAGCACCUAUUCUGCCGUCAGGUGUUGAUGGAGGACACCCUGAUCCAGCCUUAUUUGCACCUUAUGCCGGUUCGAGGUCCACGGAGCUUGACAAGGCAGUGGGUGAAGGAGAGGUUGAUGUAGCUCGAAAUGGUGGAAAAGCGAAGACGUGCAGUAGGUGUUCUUUUUGAAGGGCCAUGCGGCUGCAGACUGCAAGACGGAGAUAUACUGCGAUAUCUGCGAUGGGCACGAGCAUGUUAACCAUCGUUGUCCCGUGCUUAACCAUCGUUUAUAUGCAUAACUUUAAUUUUCUUAACAACUUACAUGAUAAUUUUUAUAGCACAACUUGUAUUAUAUACAUAACUUGUAAGCAUAAUAUUACCAUAAUUUUUACUAUUGUAUUAUAUACACAACUUGUAAGCAUAACAUUUAUCAUAAUUUUUACUGGAGUGUUGUUAAACAAUUUAUGCAUGUGUGUUAUACACAUAAAGGAUAUUUAGUUGAGUACAAAAUUGUGUUACAAAAUUGGAUGAAAAAAGGAAAAGAAAAAAAAGACACACACGUGCAGCCAACAGGUGCGCGUGCAGUUCGAGGGCAUGUGGGCGGUGGGCCCUGGCCUGCAGCUCCCAUCGUGCGUCAGGAAUAGCGGCAACGUACGUGGGUCAAAUCAUUAUUCCUACGCGCCGAUACCUAGGAAGAAGGACUCCAAAACUGCGCUCGUCAAAGUCAUUGGUGGCAGACUUAGCCUUGAUCAAGUUGUUGUGCAGCUGCAAAGGUUAGUGCCUGGGAAGUGGAAGUGGGAACCAGAGGAACGAGAUGAUGGAUCUUUUGUUGUUGCCUUUCUGUCUAAAGCAAAGGUCUAUUGCUUAUGAAGAUACGGAUGUACGGGGGAAUGGAGUUUCCACCAGUGUUCGUCUGCAAUUUGAGGAGUGGCAUGUCAAGGAGGAAGGUUUUUUGUUACAAAAGUGUGGGUUUGUGUCACCAGGAUCAGCAAGAAGCUUACACCCCGUUUGGAUGUCUAAAUUGAAGCUCGGAAUUGAUAACUGGAACCAGGACAAACGAAUUAUGCUAUUUGGAUGCUUAUAGAAUUGAGAAUUGGUAUUGGGAACCAAUACCGUGAAAUCCAACCGCAACUAAAACAACCCUCCGUCAAAACCAAGCUGCACCCCUCCGUAUUGGAAAGAAUUGGUUUGUUCUUCUCCUUCAUCGCCCAAACUCCGCAACAGACAAGCACCGCAGCUGGAACUCCACCCUCGACCUCCAUCACGGAGGUUCUCCGCCACCGGAGAUUCCUCCUUCCUCACCGCUGCAGCCACAUCCUCUUCUUCCUUGCGCUGAGUGCCCCCUCAUCUUCCUCACAGCUGUGUCCCCUCAUCUUCUGCGCGGCCAUCGACCCUCAUCUUCAUCCUUAGAGCCAGCGUCCCCUCCGCCUCUUCCUGACUUGCCGCGGCCGCAUAUGCUUCUUCGUUCGGCGCCUCGUUGGGAAGCGACCGCCGGCAGUGGGGGCAUAUGCCACUCAUCGAAGCAGCGGCUGGCAGUGGGGGCCGCGCUUCCCCUGCCUCCCUCCAUGAUGAACCACACCGCCCCACCGCCGGUGACCUACGCCACGCCUCUCCUGCCUCCCUCUGUGAUGAGAAACGCCGCCCCACCGCUGACGACCUCUGUCGCUCUACUUUCUCCCUCCCUUCAUGGAUCUGGGCACGGACGGACGAGGAGCAGGGACUGGUUGUUGGGCGCCGUUGCCGGCAAUGGAAGGAGGAGCGACAAGGGGCUAGGCACGGGGAAGAAGAUGAGCCAAUGCCAAAUUUCUAGUGAUGCACAUCCAAACACAAAUUGGUAUAUGCCGUCUCCUUGAAUUCCAUCUGUGAUUUCAUCUACAUCCAAACAAUAGCUUUGGUAUUGUGACCUAUUUCCAAAACCUCUCUGAUUUGGUAUUGAGACCAAUUCAAUACCAAGCCUCACAAUAUCGACAUCCAAACGGAGCCUUAGGGAAUUCUUGAAACCUUUGGGCGAUUGGUUCCAUGCUUGGUUCCACCCAAACAGUGGAUAUGAAGACGACACGCAAGAACAACUUUGAUAGAAUUCUUGUUGUUGUUUUAGACUGCAAGUUAAUCCCAACACAGCUAGAUACAGUUAUCGGAGCCCAUUACUUUGAACUAAAGUUCACAGUUGAGCGCCUGGGUUUUGAUGAGAAUGGUGACGAGGUGGAGAUGGACUUUAGUCAUGGUGAGGACAAAGGAAAUGGAGACAUGGAUAAGGACAAUGUGCAUGAGGAUCAAGAUGCAGCUAGAGAUCCUAAGAGGUCUAGAUGUGAUGACAUGAUCAUGGAGGACAUGACCAAUUCCUCUAAGGACAAUGGGGCUGCAAACAAACAAUCCUUGGAGGGUGAUGCAAACAUUCAUGCAGUCGAGUGCGGUGUACCUUCGGAGGCUGAAAUUCAGCGCCUAGCGAAUGAAAUUAUUGAUGGGGCAGUGAUGAAAACACUGGACUUUUGUUGUGACAAAGUGCUUGCUGAGAGUGACAAGGACUUGAUGGAUGGGGCAUUGGAAGAUGUUCUAUCUGAGGAGGAGGAGGAUUUGUUUGGGGCAGUAGUGAAUGAUUCCCAAGGGAAAGGUGUUAGUGUGGUGGCGGAGGACAGCAAUCUCCCUCCCUCUGUGAUGCACAUUGAGGUGGCUACCCAGGAGGUUCAGGUUGUUGGGAACUCAGCCUUGCUAGAUAGCAGCUCUGCUGGGAGGAUCACCCCUCUUGAGGCGGAUGACUUGGCUGAGUUCAAGAAGUUGGGGUUGCAGAUGGGAGGUGGAGAGGAGCUGGGUCAAUUGAUGAGAAUGUGAUGGACAAAACAAUGAAGAGGACCACGUGAAAAAAUUUGGAACCAAAUGAAGGUAACCAUAUAUCUUUCCUUUCUUUUCCUAACAAUGUUGCUGCUGCCAAUAUCUCAAAUCUAGGUGUAACUUUAGGCAAUUGCUCUAAGGAAAUUUUAGAUUCUAUUUCUUCACUUAGAAUCAUAGAACAAAAUAGACUUUCAGCUAAACUUUCUAGUAAAGUUGUUGAAAAUGAAGUUUCAGAGUCCGAGCUCUUGGAUAAUGAUGAUGACAAUGAUUUGGAGAACCUCACUCUUUGUCACUUAUGUGGUGAUUUGAUGGAGGAGGUCAUGGACUAUGAUAGUGAUCACCUAAGUUGUGAUUUUCAAGCUAUCUACAAAAAGAACAAAUCAAGAGCGUCUUUUAGAAAGAAAAAAGAGGCUAAGAUUAGGAUAGUUAAUAAAUGCAAAAAUGGUUUAAAAUGAAGGAUAUCUUUUGGAAUAAUAGAGGUCUUAGUGACUUGGCUAAAUUUAGAUUCCUAUCAGACACCUCUAGAGAGCAGAAGCUAGACUUCAUUGCACUCUUGGAGACCAGUAAAAAAGGUUUCUCUCAAACCUCCCUUAAUAACAUGUCUGCUGGACAAGACUUCCUUUGGCAUUAGACUGAACCUCAUGGUAGGUCAAGUGGCAUCCUUCUAGGGGUUAAUCUAGAAACCUUUGAUAUUGGAAGUAUUGAUGAGGGAGAUUUCUAUGUAAAAUUCCAUCUCAGAAACAAGGCUGAUGGUUUCCAAUGGGUCCUAGUAGCUGUUUGUGGGGCAGCUCAAGUGGAAUUUAAGGAGGCUUUCCUAGCUGAGCUUGUGCAAACCUGUGCAAAAGAAACCUUGCCAAUUCUUGUUGGUAGGGAUUUUAAUAUCAUUAGAAAUCCACAAGAGAAGAAUAAUGAUAAAUAUGAUGAUAAAUGGCCUUUCUUGUUUAAGGUUGUUAUAUAUGGCUUAGACUUGAGGGAGUUGGAGAUGUCUUUCCGAAAAUUCACUUGGGCCAAUUCCAAAUAUGUACAAACUUUUGAGAGGUUAGACCGAGUAUUAGUGAGUACUGAGUGGGAAUCCAAAUUCCCUCUAUCUAAUGUUCAAGCAUUGAACAGAGAAAUAUCAUAUCACACCCCACUUGUCCCAGAUACAGGCAAUGGUACACAUUCUCGUAGUCAACCGUUGCUCAAGUUUGAGCUUGGAUGGCUGUUAUGAGGUGGCUUUACUGACUUAGUAAUAGGAGUGUGGAACAAGGAAAAAGGGGUGGUACACCGAUACAAAAUGGCAGUUUAAAAUCCGAAGACUUAGACAAUUCCUUAGAGGCUAGGCCAAAAACAUGAGUGGGAACUAUAAAAAAGAAAAGGCUGAAAUCAUUAGGAAGGUGGAUGAAUUAGACAAAAAGACUGAAGUUCAAACUUUGAGUAAGGUUGAGCUUGACCUUAAACAAUGUCUAAAGACACGCCUAGCUCAAUUGCUACAAGAAAAGGAAUUAAAAUGGUACCAAAGAGCCAAGACAACUAAGUUGUUACAUGGCAACUGCAAUACCAAAUAUUUUCAACUUGUAGCGAACGGAAAACAUAGAAAAACAAGGAUUUUUCAGCUUGAACAAGAGGAAGGGCUGAUAGAAGGUGAUGAAAAACUAAAGAGUUACAUCACUAACUAUUAUAAAGGCCUCUUCAGGCCCCUGAAAGAAAUAAUUUCUCUAUGGUGGAAUCUAUUAGGGAUGAUAUUACACAGGUUUCUAAGGUGGAAAAUGGCAUUCUUACCUCUACCUUUAUGGAAGAAGAAGUCAAAAAUGUGAUCUUUCAAAUGGAACCUAAUAAGGUGCCGGGACCAGAUGGUUUCCCCGCCGAUUUUUACCAAACUUUUUGGGAAGUAAUCAAAGGAGACCUAAUGGCCCUCUUCCAUGAAUUUCACAAAGGUGAUCUACCUCUUUUAGUCUUAACUUUGGUAAUAUAACCUUAUUACCAAAACAAAAGGAGGCAAAGCAAAUACAACAAUUUAGACCUAUCUGGCUUCUAAAUGUGAGUUUCAAGAUUUUUACCAAGGUCAUGUCAAAUAGAGUGGCUCUAGUAGCCCAGAAGAUCAUUAAGCCAUCUCAAACUACUUUCAUGACUGGUAGAAACAUUAUGGAAGUAGUUAUUUUACAUGAGACCAUUCAUGAGAUGAACAGGAAAAGGUUGGAUCGUUUGAUUCUAAAUUUAGAUUUUGAAAAGGCUUAUGACAAGGCCAAUUGGGCUUUCCUUCAACAAAUGUUGAGGAUGAAAGGAUUUUCACCUAUAUGGUGCAAAUGGAUUGACCAAAUUGUUAGAGGGGGCAGUGUAAGUAUUAAGGUGAAUGAUGAGAUCGAACACUACUUUCAAUCCGAGAAAGGACUUAUUCAAGGAGAUCACCUCUCACCAAUCCUUUUCAAUCUAGUUGCUGAUAUGUUGGCAAUACUCAUUGAAAGACCCAAGGUAGAUACUAAAUUUUGUGGAGUUGUUCCGCACCUGGUGGAUGAUGGCCUUUCGAUCCUCCAAUAUGUGGAUGAUACUAUCCUUUUUAUGGAACACAACCUAGAACAUGCCAAAAACCUUAAACUAGUAUUAAGUACCUUUGAGCAGUUGUCGGGUCUUAAAAUCAAUUUCCACAAAAGCGAAAUCUAUUUGUAUGGAGAGGCCAAAGAAUUUGAGGAUGAGUAUGUUACAAUCUUUGGGUACAAAUCAGGGAAUACCCCUUUCAAAUACCUUGGCAUUCCUAUGCAUCAUAGGAAACUAUCCAAUAAGGAUUGGAUCAUGAUCGAGGAGAGAUUCCAAAAGAAGCUUUCCAGCUAGAAAGGAAAACUUCUUUCAGUAGGAGGAAGGCUAGUCCUAAUAAAUUCAGUUUUGACUAGUUUAGCCAUGUAUAUGCUCUCCUAUUUUGAAGUGCCUAGAGGUGUGCUUCGCAAGUUAGACUACUAUCGCUCGCGGUUCUUUGUGCAAUGCGAUGAACAUAACAAAAAGUAUAGACUCACUAAGUAGUGCAUCCUCUGUAGGCCUGAAGAUUAUGGUGGGUUAGGCAUUCAAAACAUAGAUAUCCAAAAUAAAUGUCUUUUGAUCAAGUGGUUAUUCAAACUAAUCAAUGAGGAAGGAAUUUGGCAAAACCUUCUAAAAAGGAAGUACUUGUCAAAUAAGACCUUAACCCAUGAUAAAAGAUAACCAGGUGAUUCCCAUUUUUGGUUUGGACUUAUGAAAGUUAAAUAUCAAUUUUUGAAAUGUGGCUCAUUUCGGGUCCAUAGUGGUACCGAAAUUAGAUUUUGGGAGGACACUUGGAUCAGGGAUAAACCACUUGGAGCCACAUACCCUUCCCUAUAUCACAUUGCAAGGAAAAAGACGCUAUUGUGGCUCAUGUGUUAAGUACUACACCACUGAAUAUUUCCUUCCGUAGAGCAUUGGUUGAUGUGAACAUGAGGGCAUGGCAUGAUCUUGUGUCAAAAGUAGUGCUGAUUUAACUUACCCAUGACAGAGAUACUUUUGUUUGGAACCUACAUAGUAGUGGUAUAUUUUCAGUCCGCUCUAUCUAAAGAUCUAUGAUACAAUGUGGAAUUAUUCUCUGGUGGAAAAGUGAGCAUUAGUCCCAGUUGGAGAGAGUCAUAUCUCUCCAAUAUCCAACCGGAACUAACCUUUCGGGACUAAAGGUCCCCCUCUUUAGUCCCAGGUCACUAACCCAGGACUAAAGACCCUCUUUAGUCAUGUUUGGUAAUACAAACUGGAACUAAAGGGGCCUCCAUGCAGGCGCAUGCACGUGGCCCCUUUAGUCUUGGUUGGUAUUACCAACCGAGACUAAAGACCUUUUUUUUACCCUGAAUUCUUUUCCAGAUUAAUGAUAAUUGUUGCUUCACUUAUAUAUAUAUAUAUAUAUAUAUAUAUAUAUAUAUAUAUAUAGAUAGAUAGAUAGAUAGAUAGAUAGAUAGAUAGAUAGAUAUAGAUAUAGAUAUAGACACACACACGACUUACACGUAUAUGCUCGUAUUGUAUGCAUGUCAUAUAUAUAUUUCAUGAUAGUAUAUGCAUAAUAUUAAUUAUAACUACUAUAUAUACAAUUCCUAGUAUAUUAUACACAUCAAACUAGUAUUAAUACAAUUACUGUAUAUACAAUAAUUUAUCCUCAUAAUUCUUAGGAUCCUCCCAUCAUGGUGUUGCUCCAUUGUAAUAAAAUUCUCCUUUGGGAUUUAUCACCUCGUCCACCAGAAAUCCUAUGAGUGCCUCUUGAAUUGCUAAAAGCCUUUCCUUCUUCGAGAGUUCUUCGCGAAUCUGCCACAUCUGUAAUUUGGAAAUAUGUGAAUGUUACACCAACAAUUAAAUAAAAGGAGCUAGAAACUGAUUAAUAAUUAAUAGGUUUAUUUUACGUACAGUUAUAUCGUCCGAUAGCACCUUGUCCCUCACGAAAUGGUGUAUGUACUCACAGACGUAGUAUCCACAUAAAUUAUUCCCUUGUUCUUGUCUCAAGCACUUGUAUUGAAUGUAAGUUUUUCUUUGAAUUCACCCUGUGAGUCUUAUGGAAUCGUUUCCAUGCAUUGCAAAAUUAAAUAAUGAAUGAUACCGUGUUAGGUGAAAAUUUGGGAAACAAACUUUUGCAUAGAGAUAAAGGUCCAGAAUUAUUACAAGUUAAGUAUGUCUUGAAUGUAUUGGUACUCAUCAUUUGGUUUCCUCAAUGAAUCAAACACAAUAACAUUACUUUGAUCAAUCAUAAUUAUAAGGAGAAUCUAGUAAAAACCACGUACAUAAAUGUUCAUAUUAGAACUAACCAAAAUUAAUUAGGUAAGGAAAGGAAAAUAAAAAUAGAUGGUACCCACACUUACUUAAAGUUGUAAGCAGUAGUAUGUAUUGCUUGUAAUUCUGUUGCUCCAAGAAUUUGUAUAUUUGGUGCUUGCCUAACUCAAAGGGCCAUUUAGGUAUAGUCUUUUCUGGAGGUGCCAGUUCAUCUUGCCCUAGAACUUCAGCAAGCGAAAGACCUGUCUCUGCCAUAAACUUAACGACCUUGAUUUGUUGUUCUAAAGGAAAAGCUGCUAUUUGUUGAUUUUCUUGAUCUGCUUGCUGAUCUUGCUGCCCGAGCUAGGGGACAGUACGACUUGACGACGACUCUCCUCAUUUUUUCUCUCCCAAGACUUAACUACCGAACGAUCGUAGUUUGAUAGUAAUUUCUUCUUGACUUCUUUAUUCAUGCUAAUAAAAAAACUUUAAUUUGGCUGGAUCUACUGGCUUAGGCUCCAUCUCCUUCGCUUUUCUUUCUACAGUGAUUUUUUCAAACCACUCCCUUACAUGUGGUUGCGAUGCCUCCUCUAAUUCCUUAGGAGUCGUAUUGCCUGCUGGCUUCUUAUACACUACUUACACGUAUAUGCUCAUAUUGUAUGCAUGUCAUAUAUAUAUAUUUAAUGAUAGUAUAUGCAUAAUAUUAAUUAUAACUACUAUAUAUACAAUUCUUAGUAUAUUAUACACAUCAAACUAGUAUUAAUACAAUUACUAUAUAUGCAAUAAUUUGUCCUCGUAAUUCCUAGGAUCAUCCCAUCGUGGUGUUACACUUCUUAAUAGGUUCGAACUUCGUUUUUUCCUUCCUCGGUUCUUUCACCUUUGGCUGCCUUGGCUUGGAAGGCAGUGGUUGCGACUUCUUGAAAGGUGUUGCAGGUGCUUCCUUGCUCACACCAGACUUUAGUCCCAGCGCUGCAGACUGUGAUCGAGGAAGGGUGUUUUGGUCAUCGCUGCUCCCGCCUGCAGGAUUCAAUGGUGCUGGAGACGAUGAUCGAGCAGGAUGUGACGGUCCCGGUGGUGACGAUGGUCCUGUAGGUGGAUGUACAGGAGAUGACGGUCUUGAGUUCUGAGGAGAUGGUGGUUGCAGGGGAUCUAUGCAAAGAAAUGAUACCUCCUAACCGGGGAUGAUGAUGUUAAGUUUGCACCAUGGAAUGAUACCGUGAAGUGCAUCUCCUAGUGUCCUUUCCCCCAUCACCUCCUAGGAGGCCAAGCUCUAGGCCUUCAUAUUUACUAUCACAAAUCUGCUCCACCCCAAUGCUGGACUAGCCAGAUGGAAACGCCAUGCCAUGGUUUGUCUGCCCUAGCAGGAUUGAUAAAGCACUUUCGUACACCGCCUGUACAUAUAGGAGAAAUAAAGAAGUUAUUAAACUCCCAAGGCGUGGAUCGAUUGAGAUAAUUGUAUAAAUUAUAUAUAUGUAUACCUUAAUAGUGAGGUUGCCAAAUGGUCUGUAUAGCUCACAUGAGAUGCGCUAAGUGAUGUCAUCCAUGGGGUACCGUUGGCUAUCCUACGCAACCACGGGUAAGCUUGGCAUGUUCUCAUUGGGGAUCCCUAUGGAAGCACGGCUGCUACGGCAUUGAGAAGGGCUGACGAUGCUGUUGGGAUCUGAUAGUGCUCUAGAUUGGGCCAUCUCAAUAACUGCCAGGGCCACUCGCCGAUUAAUUUCUUCCUGCAUUCUUACAUCUUGUUCGUGCACUUGAGCUUCUAACAUGCGCCGCCACCUCUGCUCUUGUUGCCCCUUUCUUCUCUUCUAGCUUCUGUAUGUGUCAAUAUCCCUACGGAAAGCAUACUUCCAUGGAACCACCCUGAAGCCUCGGCAACGUCCUAGGUGUUCGGUAUUCCUGAGCGUCAAAGUCAGCUCAUCGUUCUCUCUAUCAGGCUUGAACUUUCCUACUUUAGAAUCUUCAAUGUUUUUGAUAAGCUUGAGGGCCUUCUCAUGUAUUGUUUCAUUGAAAAUAAGUGUCCCAUCUUCAUGGCUAAGGGUGCCUCCAUGAGUGUAAUAUCAAUUCAUCGAUCGAUCGGGCCAAUCAAUAGUCGCUGGUACAAUACCUCGAUCGAUUAGGUCUUGUUUGAUCUUUCUCCAUUUGGGAAUUGCACUCCUGUAACCACCUUGCCUUAGACGAUCAUGGUACCCCUUAUUCUAGGCAUUACCUAAGUUGACACGAACCUUGUUCGUACUAUCUUCACUCCUCUUGUAUUCCAGAAAUGAGUUUUAGUGAUCUCUUAACUUUGGUCAGUCAUUAAAAUCUGGAGUCCAGCCCUUCUUGAUAUAGUUGAUAUCCAGAUUCUUCUUGAAGGUCUGAAAUUGGGUUGCCAUCUUCUUAAGCGUCCAGUCUUUCACAACAUUUUUAUCGACGUCGUUAGGAAGUGUGAAGUGUUUCUUGACAUCUGCCCACAACAUAUCUUUCUGUGUCUACGGGAGCAUGUAUGGAUCAUCUUUUUUACUGGACUUCCAUUCUCGAAUGUUGAUGGGCACGUUGUCCCUUACAAUAGUCCCGCAUUGACUCAAGAACUUUCUAGCGACUUUUUCGGGAGCAAUUGGCUGGCCCUCUUCUAUCAUUUCGGUGAUGUGAAGCCUUCCCUCCAUUAUCUUUGUACGACCUCGUGGCUUCUUUUGCUUCAUCGAUCUAGAGGUAUAAAAGUUCAAGAUUCGUUAAUUUGUAUAUAGUAAUAAUGAAUAUGAAGUUAUAGAUGGGGUAAAAUAAUAAAAAUGAUAUACACCUCGCCGGAACCUUCCAUCACAGCAAUGUCUUGUUCCCCAUUAUCAUCAACGUCGUGCUCGGGCUCAUCAUUGCCAUCACCGGACAUGUUGAGGAACAUGUCUGCCUAGCUACCAUCAUCCUCGGUGUAGGUUCUUGGAAUGUUUGAGCCACUACCGCCAGAAAUAAUCUGCUCCAUUAUAUCUUUCAUCAUCUUCAUCUCCCAUCUCAACUAAUAAUGACAUUAGUUAUACACACAUGUAAUCAUAGAUAAAUUAAAUUAAAGAUUGUAUCAAGUUGUACAAUUAAUAUAUAAACAUCAAAUCAUAGAACAACCAUGAAAUAAAAGAAACUUAAACAAAACAUAUCCUAACUGCUCGUACAACAAAUCAACUCUUGGCUAGUAGGAAAAGAAAAAUGACAAUCUAGUAAACAAACCCAUGAUUGAAAAUAUACACUUAUACAAUUUAUUACAUGAAUUUACAUGAAAUUAAACAUUAAAAAAUUUACAUGAAAUAAAUACACAUGAAUUUCCUAAGCCUUUAUAGUAAUUUUCUACUAAUUUCUAUAAUUUUCUACUAUUUUCUUCUAAUUUCUAUUAUUUUCUACUAAUUUCUACUAUUUGCACGCAUACCUCUUGGUGAGGUAGCAGCGGCCGGGAGGCACGCGGUGACGAGGAGGCUAGGGACUGGGAUCUAGAGGUGGCGGAGGUUGGGGACGGGGAUGACGUGCGCGCGGCAAGCUGCAAGGUGACAAGGAGGAAGCCCGUCGAACGAAGCAGGGGAUAGUCGGGUCGAGGACGACGAGGCGGCGCUGGGGCGCGUGGCAGCCAGCUGGUAGCAUUGGGUGGCAUCGAGGGUGGCAGCGCUGGCGGUGGAGGGGCGGUCGCGUCGGGGUGUUGGGGUCGCACUGGUGGUGGCAGCACGGGAGUGGCGCGGCCGGGCCGAAGGAUGAUGGGAGGCCACGGCCGGGGCGGGCCGAAGGAGGACGACGACGGACGGGCACGGUCGGGGCGGAGGACGAUGGAGAGGCACAGGGAGUAGCAGCGUUGGAGCAGGACGAGGCGGCGCAGCACGUCUACGGGGGCCAGCGGUGGAUGCGCAGUCGGGGAGAAGGACGCGACGGCUGGGGCGGAGCAGACGACGUCGACAAGGCGGUGGAUCGAGGAGUGAAGUGAGGAGGAAGAAGGGGGCGGAGAAGAGAUAUUUAUACCCCCACCCCUUUAGUCCCGGAUGAAGUUGCCAACCGGGACUAAAGGCCCUUUAGGGGGCUUUAAGCGCGGGAGAUGAAAAAGGCCCCUUUAGUCCCGAUUGGUAUUACCAACGGGGACUUUCCAAUCGGGACUAAAGGACCCCUCCUUUUCGUUUCCAACUAGUGCUACAAUUGGUUUUGUACUUUUAAUUUAUAUAUGUUUUAAGUUGUUUUGUACUGUUAUUGUUCAAGAAAAUAGAAAAAUUACAUAUUUUGAAAACAAAAUUAUAUUAAAUUAGCAAGUAUAUUUAAAAGAAAUUUGAAUCAGGCAUUAAUUCUAUACUAGUUUAUUAAGUUUAUAAAAUAAUUAUUUUAAUACAUCAAUUGAUCAACAAACUCUUCAAUUAAAUAACUUGAACACGUAAGAAUGCAAUUGAUGUAUGUGGUUAAGUUAACAUUGCUUAUAUUGAUCGAAUAAACGUUCACCAUAGAGCAUUACAAUAUAAUCAAAAGGUUCUAAUGGUCAUAGAGCAUUACAUAUAGUGCAUUACAAUAUAAUGUUAAAAAAACUUCUUCUUGAUGAAAGUUCCUUGAUCAUGAUCGCGGCGUAAGUACGGAGCCUCUUCUUUGGUUAGCAUGAUGCUUGGGUCAACGUCGACAGCGAAUGGAGGCAUGCCACCAAACUUAUCACAAUCAUUUGAUUAGUCUGUUUUAUCCUCGACUACCACGAUUUUUCUUUUACCUGGAAGAACUAUGUGAUGCUUUGGCUCCCAUGGUUUUUCUUUAUCUUCUAAAUUUUUCUUAGGUUUGCUAGACAUGUCCUUCACAUGGAAAACCUGAUGCACAUCAUUGGCAAUGACGAAUGGUACAUCAUUGUAUCCAGUCUUGGUCAGGUCCACUAUUGUCAUUCCAUAGUGAUCUUUCAUUAUGUCACCUCCAGUCAGCUUCACCCAUUAGCAACGAAAUAGAGGGAUGUUCAGCGGUCCAUAUUCAAGUUCCUAGAUCUCCUCUAUGAAACCAUAAUACGAGUCCUUGCCCCCGUUGCUGUCUAUGGCAUCUAUACGGACACCACUAUUUUCGUUGGUGCUUUUUUGGUCUUGAGCUCUCAUGUAAAAUGUAUAACCAUUUAUCUCGUAACCUUGGAAUUUCACGAUUGUGCUAGAAGGUCCCCUAGCUAACCAAGCAUGUUGUUCGUGAAUCAAGAAGUUACCCAUAAGGUGUUGAUGCAACCAAGAGGGAAAAGUAUCCAUGCGAUGACGUAUAAUCCACGCAUCGGAUUUCGUCGAGUAUUGGGAAAAUAUAAUAUGCUUGUGUUCCUCGACAUAUAGAGCCACAAAAGAUGAUUGUUGUAGAACUGUGAAGUGUGGUUUAUGGAAUAAAUCACUAUCAUUGCUCAAACUUGAUUUCCUUCCAAGGUUGUCCUUUCCCCGUAGCCUCCCCUCAUGGCAUGAUACUAGAACUCCAAUCAAAUUAAUUGAGUCAAUAAAAUCAACACAAAACUCAAUGGUCUCCUCUGUUCCAUAUCCGUUGGCGAUGCUUCCUUCUGAACGGGCAUGAUUAAGAACAUAGUUUUUUAGACUAAUAUGAACCUCUCGAAAGGCUACAUAUUGUGCAGGAAUACUGGACCGUGAAUAGUAAUCUCUUUGACUAGGUGAACUAGGAGGUGUGUCAUAAUAUUGAACAAGGAUGGUGGAAAUACCAACUCAAAGCUGACAAGACAUUGUACCACAUCAUUACGUAGCUUUAGUAGCUUGGUUGGAUCGAUUGCCUUCUACGAAAUCGCAUUGAGAAACGCGCAUAGCUUUACGAGUGCCACUCGUACAUUCUCUGGUAGAAUACCCCUCAGUGCAACUGGAAGCAGCUGGGUCAUUAACAUGUGGUAGUCAUGAGCCUUUAGAUUUGUGAACUUCUUUUCUUUUAUAUUUAUUAUUCCCUUUAUAUUCGAGGAGUACCCAGACGGAACCUUGAUACUAUUCAUGCAGUCAAACAUGCUAUCCUUCUCUUCCUUACUGACAGUGUAACUGGCAGGACGUAAGUAGUGCUGUCCUUUAUCUCUCUUUUCCGGAUGUAGGUCAUCUCAUUACUUCAUACGUUUCAGGUCUUGUCAUGCUUCCAAUGUAUCUUUUGAGUUCCCAUAACAACCCAAGAAGCCUAGCACGUUCAUGCAAAGAUUUUUCGUCAGGUGCAUCACAUCUAUUGUAUUGCGGACCUCUAGGAUUUCUCAAUAAGGUAGCUCCCAAAAUAUAGACUUCUUCUUCCACAUGGGUGCACGUCAGUUAUCGUCGUUCGGAAUAGGUUUGCUGCCAAGACCCUUUCCAAAGACUACCCUUAUAUCCUUUAUCAUCUCAAAUACACACUUUCCAUUAUGGUGUGCAGGUAUUUUAUGAUGGUUUGGCGCCCCUUUGAAAUGCAUCCCUUUCUUUCUUAACGGGUGAUUAGCACGAAGAAAUUGACGAUGAUCCAUAUACACGACCUUCCUACAGUGUUUUAAAUACAUGUUGUCUGUGUCAUCUAAAUAUUGGGUGCAGAUCCGAUAUCUCUUGUUUGUCUAUCCUGAAAGGUUACUUAGCGCAGGCCAAUCACUAAUGGUUAUGAACAACAAUGCUCAUAGGUCAAAACUCUCUUGUUUAUCCUCAUCCCACACACGUACACCUUCUUCUUCCCAGAGCAAUAAAAGUUCAUCAACCAAUGGUCUUAGGUACAUGUCAAUGUCGUUGUCAGGUUAUUUUGGGUCUUGGAUAAGCACCAACAUCAUAAUGAACUUUUGAAUCAUGUACAGCUAAGGAGGAAGGCUGAACAUACAUAGGGUCACAGGCCAAGUACUAUGACCACUACUCAAUUCACCAAAUGGAUUGAAUCCAUCAGUACUUAAAUCAAACCUUAUAUUCCUUGCAUCACUUUCAAAUUCCGGAAAUGCUCUAUCAAUUGAUUUCCAUUUGACCCCAUCAGCGGGGUGUCUCAGCAUGUCAUCUUGCUUACGUUCUUCUUUGUGCCAUCGCAUCAACUUAGCAUUCACCUUGUUUCUGAACAAAUGCUUCAAACGUGGUAUUAUAGGGAAAUACCACAUCACCUUCGCGGGAACUCUCUUCUUGGGAGGCUGCCCCUCAACAUCAUUAGGAUCAUCUUGUCUGAUCUUAUACCGUAGUGCUCCGCACACAGGACAAGCAUCCAAUUUCUCGUAUUCAUCACCACGAUAAAGGAUGCAAUCAUUAGGGCAUGUGUAUAUCUUCUGAACCUCCAACCCUAGAGGGCAAACAACCUGUUUAGCUUCAUAUUUUGUGGACGGCAAUACAUUAUUCUCGGGAAGCAUGUUCUUUAUAAUUUUCAAUAUCCCCUGAAAUGCCUUAUCGACACACCAUUUUUUGCCUUCCAUUGCAUCAUUUCUUGUGGUACCUAGUUUUUUAUGCCCCUACUUGCAAUCUGGGUACAAUAAUUUUUUGUGAUCAUCUAUUAUACGCUGCAACUUUUCUGAUUCCUUCUCAGUUUCGCAAUCUUUUUGUGCAUCCCGUAGCACCUGACCAAGAUCAUCAAUAGGGCCGUCUUCUGCAAACUCUUCUUCAUUAGCCUCACCUAUUGGUGUCUCUGCAAAAGUUUGGCCUACGGCCUAGUCCGAAAUAUUGUUAUCAUCCACCUCUUCUUCGUCGUCUUCCAUUAUAACCCCUUUUUCGUCGUGCUUGGUCCAAACCAAAUAGUUAGGCAUGAAACCGUAUCUAAACAAGUAGCUGUGAAGAGUCCCCUAGGAAGAGUAGUCCUUCUUGUUAAUGCAUUGGAAGCAUGGACAACAUAUGAAUCCCUUCUUUGGCUUGUUGGCUUUGGCCAUUUCGAGAAAAUAAUGCAAGCCAUCAACAAACUCCUUGGUCCGUCUGUCCACGUUGUACAUCCAUUGCUGGUCCAUCUGCAUCGUAUUACAUGAAAAAUGGACAUAGGUCUUCGUAUUAGAUAAAGAACUUGAUCAAUAUUGAUAAUUUACACCAAUCGACAUUCAUAAAAAUAAAAAAUUCACAUGAAAAUUACACCAAUCAACCUUCAUAUCAUUCACUAGGUCGACAAAAAGAAAAAUGCUAGAAUUCUGGAACAAUACAAUAAAGAUGUGUGUGUGCACACACACACAUACACACUAAAGAUUACAGACGCUCCAUAGUGGACUCCACAUAGUCAAUAAUCCUAAAAUAAUGAUCCAACAUAGCAGAAUGUUUGCCCUCCAAGCCAUCUCUGCACAUGACUCAAUCUUCUUCGAAGUCUAUGGAGAAUCACCUUGGCUCCUCCAGUACCAGAAAAUAAUGGUACAACAGAAGAUCUUCGAGUCCUCAUACUCUGGCUGAAUAUCAUAAAAGAAUCUUGAAAUAAUUAUCCAAACGUCUUUUGGAGCAAGUGCCACAUUUUCAUAAUAGAAUUAUGGUGGCACAAUAGCCUGUCCAAGCAAAAAGAUCUGUUCACUUAGCAUGGCCCAUUUUGGCAAGCUAAAACCAACCAAAAACCAAUGGGUCAAGAUCAGUGAAUAAAUCUCUACCUGAACAGGCUAUUGGCCCCAUACUUCUAUUAUGAAAAUAUAGCUCCAAAAGGCAUUUGGAAAACUAUUUCAAGAUUCUUUUAGGAUAUUCAGCCAGAGUUUGUGCACUCAAAGUUCUUCUGUUCUACCAUUAAUUAAGGAUUCUUAACUCCGUGAAUUCCACUAUGGAGCGUCUAUACUCUUUAGUGUAUCUUUGUUGUCCUGUUCCACAAUUCUACCAUUAAGUUGACUGGUGUAAUUUUCAUAUCACCUUAAUUUAACAUGCAAAGUAUCCACAAUAACCAAAUUCUAUUUUUUACACCUACAAUUUAUUUACCUCUGUUUUAUUGCAAUGACUAAAUAUUAAAAACACAUUUACUCUAUUUUUUCUCAUACCUAAUAUUGUUCAAGAUAUUUAUCUAAUAUGAAUCGUAUAUAACAAGCAAGCUAUCCAUCAAAUUCUAGCUCAAAAACAUGUAUAAAUAAAUAAUCCUCUCCAUUCUCCCUCAUUUAAAAAACUCAUUUUUCUCUAUCUCUAAAGCAUAAAACAAAGCAUAAUAAUAAUAAAUGAAGGAUGAAGUAGCUAACCUUUACAACACUUUGGAUGAGUGAAAUACCCAGGAAAUUGAAGAAAAAAAAUUGGACGGCACCUCCCUAAGCUUGCUUGGUUGCUAUGGAGAAGGAGCCUGAAGCUCUCGGUCUGAGUGGCUCAGGCUCGGGGAGGAAGAAGCUGACUUUUAUAGGCGAGGCAUUUAGUCCCAGUUGGUAACACAAACUGGGUCCCGGUUUGUGUUACCAACCGGGACUAAAUGCCCCACCAGAAUCCAUCGUCUUUACUAUCCGUUACAACCGGAACUAAAGAGAGAUCUUUAGUCCCGGUUGAUAUUACCAACCGGGACUAAAGCUCCUGUCAUCGGUGGUGGCUGGUGGUGGUGGCUAUUUGACUUGGGACUAAAGCUCCUUUAGUUCCGAGUCAAAAAAACGUCGAUACAUAUUACACUGAAUGGAAGGUCUAUUCUCCACCUGUGGUUCCGUAUAAAUGCCCAAUCUGGAAACUUAAAAUACCCUGAAAAUCAAAAUUUUUCUUUGGUACCUUCGUAAGGGGGUUAUAUUGACCAAAGAUAAUCUUGCAAAAUGAAAUUGGCAAGGUAGUCUUAAAUGCUGUUCUCGUAACUCUCUUGAAACUGUACAACAUUUGUUCUUCGAGUGCCAUUUCUCUAGAUUCAUUCGGAAUACCAUUUAUAUAACUUUUGGAAUUCAACAACCAUCUAGCAUCUUUGAAUAUGUUUGGCUCCUGGUUUAAUGGUAUUCAGCCUAAGCUCAAGAGCAGAAUUUUAGUGGGUGCAGCAGCAAUCUGUUGGACAAUUUGGUUGAAUAGAAACGAAUGGUAUUCAACGGUGGCAAAUCUAACACCUUUUUGCAGGCAUAUUGGAUUCGAACUUGGUCUUUGCUGCAUAAAGACGACAAGAUAAGAGCAUGCUUCAAGGAGGGUUGUAGACUCUUGGAGACUGCUAUGAGAUCUUUGCUAAGUUUGGCUGGAGGUUUAGAAAUAGAAUUGGUGCAUAAGGCAUUAUUCGAUGUUCUAAGACUUUGUGUUUUUUCUUAUUUGCUACUGUCCCUCGUAUGAGGUUUGAGCUUAAGAGCUCCGUAUUGUAUCGGACGGCUGUGUACACUUUUCAAAGGUGUAGAGGCUGGAACCUUGUUUCCAUUGUCUAAAAAAAAAAUUUGAGGUGGACUUGCGACUGCUUGCAAGUGUUCGGACAACCAACAUCAAUGUAAAAGACCAUGGAUUCAAAGAGAGACACCAUAGGAUAUGGUUCAAUAUUUGUACCACUAAGAGAGUGGAAAAGGAUGAACAAGGAGAAAGGUAGGAUAUUAGGCUAGACAUUGCCACGGAGGUGGAGUACUACCUCUGUUCUGCAAUAUUUGUCCAUAGCAUACUAUAUGCUGAGAACACAGAAAUAGUGUAAAGAAAAGGUCAAUAUGAAAUGACCAUCCAUUCUCGAAUUAAAUAUUAUAAUACAAUAAUCAUUUUGAUAUUUUAAUUAGGGUAACAUGUGGACACAUUGUAAUAAAUAUUCCUUUGAUAUUUUCAUGGACAAACAUUGUAAAAAAAUUUCCUGCGGAGACCAUGGACAAACGUCCUAGAACAACGAACCAACUUAUAUAAUAGUCUCCACAAGGGCAGAAUAAGUGAAGGGGAUUUACAUGUUUUAGUUUAAGAAAAAAAAAGAAAGUAGGGAGGCGAUGAGGACUGCAUGCUUGUGCUUUUCUUCUGCAUUCUUUUUUGAGAUGAGUGUGCAUUCCCUACGCUUGUUUUGCGUGAGAGCAAAACACUCUGGACUACCAAGCUCGGAUCUAUUUAUAGCAAUUGUGUACGUACGCGCGUUGGUCGUUAGUUGAACAAGAUGAAGAUUUUUCAUUAAAGAAAAGCUGGACAACGAUGUUCGUGGCAUGCCGUACGUCCAGCCUGGCUUCCUUCCUUCGGCCGCCCAUAAAUACAUGCCCAGCGCCAGCAUCGAUCGCAACACACACACAAACAUCCCUCGAUCGAUCAACAAACAAGUAAGGUUACACAAACCAAUAGCUCUUUAGCUCGCCACCAACAAUGGCCUGUAGAUCCUCCAUCCUCCUAGUGGCGGCGCUGGCAGCGCUACUGGCCGUCGGCUCGUGCGGCUCUGCACUUACCUUCAAGACCAGCUCGGGCUGCAGCGCCCCACCCGCCUGGUCCUCAUCCCCAGCACCACCAUUUAGGACGUGGAGGUAAAGUAGAAGGGCGCCAACGACUUCUUGGAGCUUAAGGAGGCCCGCUGGCACCUGGACACUCGACAGCAUCGCUUCACCACUAAGUCCGGCAGCUACCGCGUCGUCGAUGACACCAUCCGGCUCCGUAUACAAGACCAGCCUCCAGGUCAUCCCCGCAACCCACUAGCUUUAAGGCCGGCUCCGUCUACAAGACCAGCCUCCAGGUCUGAACAAGACUGGACGUGCACGCUCUAGAUUUUGAUGGGAAUUAUAUUGACCUCUAAAUAAUUUUU
rnacentral:lncRNA from 1 species